GGGGAAUCUUGCACAAUGGGGGAAACCCUGAUGCAGCGACGCCGCGUGAGUGAUGAAGCCCUUCGGGGUGUAAAGCUCUUUCGACAGGGACGAUAAUGACGGUACCUGGAGAAGAAGCUGCGGCUAACUACGUGCCAGGAGCCGCGGUAAUACGUAGGCAGCAAACGUUGUUCGGAGUUACUGGGCGUAAAGAGUGCGUAGGCGGUUCGCCAAGUUUGGUGUGAAAUCUCCCGGCUUAACUGGGAGGGUGCGCCGAAAACUGGCGGGCUUGAGUGUGGGAGAGGGAAGCGGAAUUCCUGGUGUAGCGGUGAAAUGCGUAGAUAUCAGGAGGAACACCGGUGGUGUAGACGGCUUCCUGGACCACAACUGACGCUGAGGCACGAAAGCGUGGGUAGCGAAC
rnacentral:rRNA from 1 species